GUACGUUUGAAAUCACAAUUAUUUUCUUGCUUUAUUGGGAUGCCCUUUAUAAGUUUAACCAAAGAAUAACUUCAUAUUUUUUGAUUUACCACUGAUGCAGAUACUCUGAUGAGUAUGCUGAGAAAAGCUUUGGAGCUGAAGGAGGUCAUGGCUGCAAGUGUGGUGCAAACUGCAAAUGUGACCCUUGUACCUGUUGAAGACAAAGCUGGUACAACACCCCAAAAGCAGCUUUCUCUUCACUUGUUAUAGAAAAAAUCACUGGGGGGAAGAAUUAAGAAGUACUUUUGAUUUGGUUUCAUGCUUGUAAUAUAUAAUAAGAUGGUCAUGGCUUCUGCAAAUCUAUGUACUAGAUUUGUUAGCUAAUUAUGUCUUAUGUUCUCUUGUGUUGUCCUUUGUGAGUUGCAACCAUCCUUGCUUGUAUCAGUUCACUGAUAUGCAAUGCUUAUUGAAGAAAGAAAUGUAUGUUGUCAUGUAUCUCCAAUUGGUGGUCAAAUCUUCACAACAAUUGUUCCUGCACACCAAACAUUUACAACUAGUCAACAAAAUAUAAAACCUUACAAAACUUGCACAUUUAUUUAUAGGUUGUGCUGGUGCUACAACAACGUUAUUUAGAAAAAAAAAAAAGAAGAAGAAAUAAGAUCUUCAAUCCAUCAAAUGAGUCGGAUACACAGCACAUGAUUGAAUUGGAAAAAAAAUCAUAAUUUCAUUAUAUAUAUAUAUAUGUAUGUGUGUGUGCGUGUAUGUAUGUAUAUAUAUAUAUAUAUAUAUAUAUAUAUAUAUAUAUGUGCGCGCGCGCGCGCACCAGAGGAGAAGGGUUCAUAAGGGCUAGGAGAAGUUCCAAUGUUGUUGCUAACAAGAAGGGCAACUUUCAUGAUUAAAUGAAUACUUCCCGUGCAAAAGUAUAUAUCUCACGAUAGAAGUCCAAUUUGAAACUUCAGCAAAAUUUUUUACUGUUCCUCAAACAUCAAACAUAAAAAAUUUGAGACCAACUGUGCAAAAGAGAAUACAAGUGUAUGGAGAUAUUAGUGGUUUGAAUAAAUUAAAUAAAAAUAAAAUAGAAGAAAAACAAAUAUAAUUAGAAUUUUUAUUAUCCAUUUAAUACAAUUUUAUUCUAAUUUACAUCCCAUUUCUUCCUACAGCUCUUAAUAUUGCUAUUUAAAAUUUAGAAAAAUAUAAUGAUUUAAAAUCAAAAUAGCAGAGAUUAAAAGUGUGAAUUCAAAUUUGUUGAUACCAUUAGUCAUCCUUGAAUUUGCAUUAAUUAUCAUGAAUAUGCCUAAAAUCAAAAUCUUUAGGAACCAAUUUGCUUUAGACGAAACAUUGGGACCCAAUUAAUAUAUUGGUCAAAUAUUGAACACAAAUUUACCAUACACUGGAUGCAAGUUAGUGUCCACGCGGUCUUUCGAACAACAGAUCAUAUGCACACCCGUAAUUGCCAUGGAUAUUAUUUAGUAACUUAUCCCAAUUGUUGGCCAAAAUUCAGGUUCACUUUUGAAGAGCGUAAAUUUGUCAUACCGACCAAAAUCUGAUCUACCUUUUAGGCAUCAUAAACCCUCAACUUAAAAUUUACCGUUGGAUGAUAAAAGAGUGUUAACCUUUAAAUUGCGACAAUUUAGGCCUUGUUUGGAUUGCCGGUUUCCGUCGAAAAAUUACGUCGUUUUCUGUGAUCACAUUUCCCUAUUACCUUUUUCCCUCACAUACAUCAAAUCGCUACAGUAAUUUUUCCAUGAAAAAUCACGGAAAAUGCAAUCCAAACACAACCUUAAUAAUGUAAAAUGUAAAUUACUACUAUUGUCAAUGAUGUGGCAAUCAGUGACUGAAUAUAAAAAAGAGAAAAUUAUUUCUAAAGGGACUAUAUUGGUACUAAAUAAAGAUGAGGGAAUAAAGAUGACCAUAAAAUUUUCUUCUCUUGUCUGCGGCUGCAACUAUUUAAUCUAUUUUUACUUCUAUUCUUUGGAAGGGAAAGUCUACAUAGACCCCUGUAUGGGGGUUGGGGGAUGAACCACCAAAUUAGAUAAGUGCAUUAUUGCACUUUUCUGUAUCCCGAUGCACAUGAGAGUUUUUGAAAGAGCUCUUUUCUGACCAUUGGAUUAAGGGCCAAUGGUUACUGUAAACUUUUCUUAAAAUAAGUGAUGUGCCAUUACCAGUUGCUCCGUAAUUGGUGGAGUCUAUGCUCAAUUCUUGACGUUUAUUGCCAAAAGAACUCUGCUUUAAAUUAUAUAUCCAAAAUAAUUUAAUUUUAAAAUUUAUUACCUUUAUCAUCUUUUUUUUGCCACAUAGGUUACACAUAUACUGGGAUAGAGAUAAAGGCAUGCUUCAUUUCUUUUUCUUAUAUAAUAUCUUCCUCAAUUCUCUCUCUAAAUCUUUCUGCAUUUUUUUUCUUUCAUUAUCUUUUUCUUGACAAACAUAAUUCUGAAAAGCCAAUAUUUAUAUUAACAAUAUCGAAAACUUCAUUAUAUUCUUGAUAUUGUUUUGCUGGUUGAAAAUAUUCUUCUUGAAUUGAUAAUCGCAAGAUAAAUCAAUCUGCUUGUGCCUCUAUAAUAAAAAAAUUAAAAUUUUUAAUUCAUGUUAGAAAUUAUAGACUAGAUUAAAGAUUUCCCUUUUUGUUAUCCUACAUAACAAUGAGGAUAACAAGAUGGCAAUAAUAACAUCAUUAUGGGAAUAAAAUUUGAAAGCUAAUCACAUUGAGAAUAUCUUUUAGAAAGAGUGUUAUUUUGGCAAAAAAAACCCUGUUUUCCACAAUGGGAGUGCAAUAAAGGGUAUUACACCCAAAAAUUAUAUCCCCUUAUAGUAGGAGUGUAAUAGUCAUGAUGCGUAUCAUAAUCAUUAAACGCAUAAUAGACAUGCAAGGCAACAACAAAUUGGUUGCACGUCCCAUUUGAUAAUUUUAAAAGCUUUAAAUUUUAUGGGAUAUGUAUAGUAAAUUAUUCAAAUAAAUAUGUGAUUUGAUUGUGAAUUUAUAUUAUUAUAUUAUGUACAGUAUAAUUUAUAGUGAAAGAUAGUGUAAUGAAAGAGAGAAUAUUAUAGUGAUGAUGUGGCGUAUGAGUGUGAGCCAUGAAUAUAAUCCAUUGUGGAUGCAAAUAUAAUUUCUUCCCAAUAAGCAGAAUCAGCUGCCUUAGACUUGAUUUAGACAUAAAUGUAAUCUCUUGUCAAUAAUUUUUGUCCAUUUUAGCUGAUGUGUUUGAAUUUUUCUAUCAAUUAAAAUCAAGUUGCUUUGCCGGUUACGGAAAAAAUCUUGGAAGCAACAACUUGAAAGGGAUUCUCGUGUCUUAUACAAUUUUGUGGAGCAGUAGCCAGUAGGCACUCUUUGACAAUUUCAAAGGGAUGAUCACGCUAUACGUUUGGUCGGACAUUAAAUAAGUGGUGAUUGGAUGAGAAUUGAGUGAAAGACCCUAAUAAAAGGCAAAAAAAAAACGCUCAUUACGUUUGAUCAUUUCCUAUUUGCUUCAUUUUUUUUUUUUACAAUUUUAACUUUUAUUAAAAACAAGAAAAAGCCCUCUCUUCAUUGCUUUUAGGGUAAAUUAACUUUAUCCCCACGUGAUUUCGUAUUUUAUCACAUAACUCCCUUGUGGUUUAAAAAUCUAUAUAUAAACCCCGCCGGGUUUGGGUUAAUAUGUUACCGUUAGUUUUGGGUUAAAGAAAUGAUUUUAAAACCUAAUAUUUUGUCCUACAAAAUCUUAAUUUUCUCAAAAUACAAAAGAGAUGGAAGGGAAAUAAUAAAUAAAUAAAUCAUGAGGAAUUAUAUAUAAGUUUUUAAACCAUAUAUAUAAGUUUUUAAACCGUAGAGGAGUUAUGUAAUAAAGCAUCAAUUACAAAGGGUAAAAGGUAAUUUACCUUUGCUUUUAAUUGUUACAAAUUUAAAUAUGGUAACAGCAAAAUAUAAGUCCUCAUACUCGCCUGCUAAUUCAAUUAUUUACGAAAAAUGUUUCUUCGUCGAUCAAAGGAUUCUUUCAUAAUGAACAAGUACAAUAACCGGAAAAGAAAAUGCAACAAGCUGUUUACUUUUCGCUUUGCUUGCUUUUUAAUGAUUUAAUAUGUUUUGAAAAUUCUUAAUUGUGUCUGUAUAGCAGCAAGUUUCAUUCACGAUCUUCAAGUUGAUAGUAACAUAAUGCUUGGAAUAUGAGUUCUUGAUUGUGACGACAUUCUAAACACAAGUAUUAGAGAGCAGUCAUAAUAAAUUUUUUUCUGGUUAAUAGAAAUAGUCAUUCGCUACAACCGUUUCAUCUUAAUCAAUAAAAAGAAAAGUUAAAAGAAAAAAGUGGUGAUUCCUUUUUUUUUUUUUUUAAAUUGCAAUUGACUAGACGUCCCUGGUUAUACAGUAUUAAGGGUUUGAUUAAAAAUAGGUAUGCGCGCAUUCACAUAAUAAGUUAGGUAUAAUUUAGAUAUUUUAACGAGUGUCCUAUUAAUCGAAAAGAUCUUGGUUUAAUAGUUAAGAUUGAAACUUCAAAAUUCAGAAAAUUAGGUCUCAAUCCUCCCUUUUUAACUUUCCACUUCUUAGAUUUUCCUAGUAGGAAAAAGGAAAAAAGAAAAAAGAGUAUUAAAAGGGUAGACUAUUUUGGGGAACGUUACUUUCAAGAGGAAAAAUAUAUUAAAGUAGACAAGUAACAAGGACAAUGGCAAAACUUAAGAAAGCGAAGAUUUGAAGGCAUACGCGUUGCUGACGGCUUUCUAAGCAAGAGAGAAUGUCAAGUCUUCCAGCUCACGAGCACUUGACCUCAAGUAUUAAUGGUGUGGCUCAAAAAAAAAAAAAAAAAUCAAACGAAAAAAAUGAAAAGUUUGGUCCCUAUGAUUUGAACGUGAUGCAAUUUAGAGUUAACAAGUUAAUUUGCGACAUCAAUUGCUAUUUAUGUUAGAGUACCCAAAUCAAUUUUUUGCCUUCUUGUCAAUUUUGACGUGUAAAACAAUUUUGAAUCUUCCAAAUGUGGUGGAAUAUAAGAGGCCAAAUCUGUCAAAAUUGAUUCGUAAAAGCCAAGAAAAUCAACCAAUUGUUAUAGUAUAUAGGUACAAUAAAUCACAAGGAAACCAAUAGGGUGAAGUUAUCACUUAUCAAUGCCUACCCCAGUGGAUAUUUAUAAAUAGCAAAGCCAAUUCAUAUGGAGUGUUUGCUACGAAAUGUCCAAGUAAAUCAAUGACCAAGUGCAGAAAAGGAUAGGAUUGUUGACAAAAUGUUGUUUAAUCCAUUUGAUUAGUAUACGUAAAUCACCUCUUAUUGGUACACUUGUGCAUAUCAUUGUCAACAAAUUUCUUUAGCCUUGCACUAUAAAUAAAGCCAACAACUCUGGCAAAGAACUCGUACAAGAGUUGAUUUGAGCUUAAUACAAGCAGUAUUAUCCAUUAAUAUAUUCUUCUGUUCUUCAAACAUCUCUGUGAAGAUGUCUUCCUGUGGAGGAAACUGCGGGUAAAGUUCUUAUAUUUACUUUUCUUUUCUUUUUUUUUUUUCUGUUCAAAGUUCUUAUAUUUACUUUUACAUGUAUAACUGUGUUUUAUUGUUUAGCAAAAUAAAUUUUUUUUGAGCAUAGAUAUGUAUAGUUAAUAAUCUAGUGUUUCCUCAUAUCCUUUGGCCACUUACAGGGAAAAUAGUAUUGAGGAGUAUGCAAAUGAAAAAAAUUCAAAAUUUGAUCUGAUUUUUCUGAUUGUUUAGAUUUCGAAAAUCCCAUUUGACAAAUCUGUUAAAUUAGCCCUUGAUUGAUGGUAUUUGUCAGAAUAUGGUCAUGUCUGUAUGGUUAUGCUAUAAUCUUGAAUUUGGUCAUUGCUCUUAUACUUUUGUGUUUCUAUUUAUUGAAUAUUUGAACUGAAUUUUCUCUUUGAAUUUUGUUUCUGCCGGCAGAAACAUGUAUCCUGAUGUGGAAAAGGUCACAACUGUGACCAUCAUCGAGGGAGUUGCACCAAAGAACACGUACGUUUGAGUUCAUAUCUUGUUUUCAUAUUUAUUUAUUUAUAUGUCGAGAUCCAAAAUAUUACUCAACCCAAGAAAAAGUUUUAUAUCGGUAAUCUGCCAUUGAUGCAGAUACUCUGAUGAAUCUGCUGAGAAAAGCUCUGGUGCUGAAGGAGGUCAUGGCUGCAAGUGUGGUGCAAACUGCAAAUGUGACCCUUGUACCUGUUGAAGACAUAAUAUAUAGUUAGUUUAAGUCCCCCAAAGCAGCUGUUCUGAUCUUGUCAUCAAGAAAACUCUUUGGGGGGGAAAAAGAAGUGCUUUUGAUGUGGUCUGUGCUUGUAAUAUAUAAUAAGAUGGUCAUGGCUUCUGCAAAUCUAUGUCCUAGAUUUGUCAGAUAAAUCAUGGCCAUGCACUCCUGAGUCCUUGUAACCAUCCUUGUUUUGUGUCAGUUUACUGAAUUGCAAUGCUUGCUUAUUGAAGAAAUGAAUGUUGUUGUAUGUAUACAUACAUCUCCAAUUGGUAUUGGUGGUGAAAUCUUGAUUAUCUUGACAACAAUUUGAUCGUACAGAAGAAUACAUUAACAACAACUAUUCAACAAGACACAGAAACCUUGCAGAACCUCAGAAAGUACUGUUUGUGCUAGUGCUACAACAACAACAUUAUGCGGAAAACAAAAGUUCUUCCCUGCAUCAAACGAGUUAGAUACACAUCCUGUGGCACAUGAUUAAACUUGGAAAGCCCUCAAUUCUCAUAUAUAAAAGAAAACAAAAAUGAGAUCAUGUAAAAUAGAUGUUGGAAUGCUCAACCUAAUAAAGCAGACGUUGUUUUGAUCCUGUCAUUGCUCCUAAUUCAUUCAUUUCUCUUUUAAGUAUCCAUUCAUUCCUCAUGAUUCAGUUUUGCCGAACAUGAAAUAUGGUAUGCUGCGCCAAUCUUGACCAUGUCAUGACUUGGAAUUCAAUAAUUGCCUUUCAAGGUUAUAGGGUUGAAGAUGUGAAGGGUAUGAUAUGCUAAUCGUGUCUUUCUGGAGGAUAUAAUUUCAACAAAGUGAAAUAGAAUCAUGCGUAUGAAGACGCAGUUACACUUGAAGAUCUUGCCUCUUCAUUCUACAAGAAACAAGGAAACCUAGAGGUUUACCAUUCGCCACAUUCAUGAUGCGCCAAUUAGUUGUCAAACAACAGUUGUUUGGUUCAGUUCAGUGAGAGACAUUAGCUGCAGUUAAGCUUCCUUCACCAUACUGUCUGAAUUAAGAUGCAUACCGGGGGUGUUUUCCACAAAAUCAGCAUUCAGCAAAUUGGGCCAGCAGCACCAACUAGCAAUUUGGUUGAUGCUUCAAAUGACUAGGAGGAAUUCCCAUGUUAUGACUGAAACGAAGGGCAACAUUCAUCAGCAAAUGACUACUUUCUGUGCAAAGCUUAUAUCUAGCUGGAGUUCAAUCCAAUAUCAGCAAAAUUUUGGAGUUACUUUACAAAUUCCCAAAAAAAAUAAAAUUCAGAUCUUUGCAUGAACUACAAGAAACCCUAAUUCUCUUUUAAAAGAAAACUGUGGCUAGAUUUCAUGUAACUAUCAAUUGUUUUUCUUUUCUUAUUUCACUUCUACAAGUAACAGCUUCUGAUAAGCUUAGUAUUCAUUCAUUUAUUGAACCAUUUGGUGUGAAGGUUCAAGGUAACGAGGAGGCUGUUUCUGGAACAGAUGCAGAACUCUCAUCAAGGGCACCAGAUUUCUCUUGCUCAGCUACUACCACAAGCAUCUCUAGGCGUUUAUCAAAAAUUAGUGCGCUCUCAUCUCUCUUAUCAAGUUCAGCUCCUUCAGCCUCGAGCCAUUUCUCUCGCAAAUCAUCUAGGAGAUUCUCCUCAACUGUAUUCAAUUCAGCUCCUGGUGCACUUGGAGCUGUGGUACGAAGAGUGGAUUCUCCAGAAGGUGGUGGAAGUGUUAAAAGCAUCGCCCUGAACUCAGGAGUUUCAGCAAAUAUCUCAAAGUUACAAGCUAUUGUAUCAAGACAAUACUCCCGAAUCUUCACUACGCCAUACCUGCAUCAUUUAAAAGAUUGUUCAAACAAAAUCGCAUUUAGCUAAAUGAACAAAAUAAAGCAUUGCGUGACAGAGGUUAAACUGCAUUCAACAGAAGAAGGAAAAAUAUUUUACCCUCCUAUUUAAUUUGAUAAUCAACAGCAUGCCUAUUUAUAGGAAAUUGGUCAACCAAAAUGAACCAACAUGCAAAUUUUCUCAAAAAAAAAAAGGUUGAAAAUUGUCCCACUUAAAAAAAUUUGUUCUGAAAGUCUAACCUUCUAUUAUCUUUUACCAUGACCGGGUACCCAAUUAGGAAGAUAAGAGCAUACAUGUAUUUAGCUGGAAGUUUACAAGCAGGAGCAAAAAGUCAGAAUCAUCAAAAUAUUUUUCCCUUAACCAUCUUAGAAACAAUUGCAAGGAAAAAAUGGGAAAUUAAAAUCUGGGGCCUCGGGCUACCAAUUGGCAGCCACCAGAUCAAGUACCGAAGUUUUUCCUCAAAAAUAAGAGCCAAGAGAUUGGCCACAAGGUUUAGGCCCAUCGUUUUAUAACAGAUAUUGUUGUGGUUUUAGUGGAGUUGAUCAGAUUGGAUUGAAGAAACUAUAUCCCUUUUGGUCUGUUUUCACAGAGCAAGAAAUUGUUCCAACUUCAACUUGAUGAUAGGUCGAACAGCAUAAGUAAGAAUACCUUGAAGAAACAAACAAUGUUUAACUAACUAUAUGUGAAUACUUCAGCAGCAUAUUACUGGCAUGGAAGGCUCCUUUGCUAGCAAUAUCCACCUUUGCAGAUUAGUUUCCUCGUAAUAAGAAAUUUCAUUUUUAAGUUAACAUUUAUUUCCUAUUUAAAAUGAAAUGCUUAGAAGAUAUAGAAAAAGAAUAAUAUGAUAAUUUCAACUUUUUAAAGCUAGAAAAGAGUUUAAGAAGCAAUAAGUAUAAAGCAUAAACAAAAAGCAUACAUGUCUGACAACAUCAGCCAAUGACAGAGCUCUGCUGGAGGAACCAUUUCUAGGUGGGGCAACAGUGCAUCAGCGACAGCACGUUUAAGCGGAAAUAAAAGAUAUCUUGAUGCCACAUCAAACAACUCUUCAGCCUGCAUCGAGAAAAAAAACCAUCACCAAAAGCUUACUACCAGAAAUUAGUAAUCAAAACUCAACAAACAGCAUUAUUAUACAGCUCCAAUUCUGUUAAGAAUAAGAAUGUCGAAUGAUACCUGAUCAGGAUCUAUGUCCUUCAGGCCAUCAGUGUACCUAAAUCAGCACAAAAAUCAUACAUAUUAAGAAAAAGAAGCUUGAAGGUACAAAAGGUUGGACAGAGUAAAUAUGCCAGGAUCAUCUUUCCAGAAACUAAACACCUAACAUUAUACUGACAGUGAGCAACGGCAAAAUGAACAAGGACAAGAACCAAAUAUCACAAAAGUAAUAUAUGGGUCAUGAUGGGGUCAACAGAAUUGCUACAUCAUGCAUGAGAUGAGCUCUACCACUACGUGCUGUUAGAGUAAAUAUAUUCCUUAUUUCCUUCUAUCCAAUAUAUUUUCUUUCCAUGCUUUAAUAGUUAACCAAAUUAAAAGCCAAAUACACACCAAUAACAUCAGACAUAUAACAAGAAGGAAGCUUGAAGGGACAAAAUGAUAGAAAGAGUAAACAUGCCAGAAUUAUCUUUUGAGAAAGUAGAAUUCAUAAUGAAAAUUUGACAUUCUGGAACACCAAUUUGAACAAGAAACAGAAUAACUAAUAGAACAAAGUAAACAGGCCAUCAAAUCUCGUCUCAUGGGGUUAGCAAGGUCACUAUUCUACGCAUGAGAUACUACUUCACCAGCAUGUCCCAUUUUAGUAGCUAUAUUACUUAUUUCAUUCUCUUAAAUAUAUUUCUUUUGCAUGCUUCAACAGUUAACUCAUUAAAUACCAAAUAUACGCUAUUAACAAGAAAAGUAGGGAGAUACUUGGCUAUGACACCUGAGUCAAAUUAUAUGAGCAUAGUAAAUAUUCAACUCACCUACGAGCAGGAACUCUAUGGCAAGUGGAGACCUCCAGCACAAAGAACUAUGAUUCUAAUUCAAACUUCAAACUACAUGACCUACUCGAAGUGAAGCAUAAACUUACAUAUAUUCUAUCAUUUUCUCAAAAGCACCCACGCUCAAAUCAUGUUCUUCAAGACAUGGAAGGGUACUAUCAGGCAAACUGUCUCUUCCUUCAUGGAACUCCUUAACCCGGGAUAAUCUUGCUUUGAAAUAUUCGGACCUUGAUGCUAAGAUGACUUGAUGGCACCUAAAAAUUUUCUUUUCAACUAGCACACAAACAUCUGCAAGAUCAUCUUCAAAUCCAACCAUCUGCAUUAAACCAACACGAGAUACAAGACUAUCAACAGGACUAUCCAGGUUUUCUUCUCUUGUUGAAUUGGCAAGAGAAAUUUGAAGAAUUUCAUGUAAGGCCGCAGGAAGACGGUCAUCCUGUGGAAGGGAAAGACCCUGCAAAAUGAAUCGCUUCUGAGAGUUGUCUAUCUCCCUAAGGGCCUUGUAAUCUGCAUACUGUUGAUGGAUUAAUUCUUUCUCAAGAACUUUUUGAAGUGAUUGGCACUUGCAAACUCUGCAAAUUCUCACCAAAUCCUCCAUGUCAUCUACUGAGAUUUCAAGCCGAUCACUAUAAAAAAAGUGAAUGAGGCUAAAAAGAGCAGGGUAAGAUAGCUUUUCCCUUGAGAAUCUUAUUUCCUUGCGAUCCUUCCAAUCUGUCGCAAAUUUCCUCUUAAAGAAAGGUGAACGGGCACUCAAGAUGACUCUAUGAGCUUCAAUAGGUCUUCCCUGCACAUAAAGCACAGCAUCUGCAGGGAAGUGGUCUGAAGUGGAUCCUCCAUUUGGUGAAUAACCUAUUGAUUCUAUUACUCCAGGUCAGAUUAAUGAAGAUAAGAAUUCCUGACAGAGAAAUGUCUAUAUAGUUUAUCAGUCAGAAAACAGCACAACAUGAAUUCCAAAAUGCUAAUAUUAAAUUAAUAUCAAACUAAAGCAUCCACAAGCAAAGCAAUCAGAUGUAGCAAAUCUUCCAGCAUGUUUCAGCAUAAUGCCAGCUUAAAUCUGGCAAAGAAUGUGAAGCUUUGAUAUGCAUUUUGAAGGAAAAUUGUUUUACGCAAUUUUAAAAUAAAAUUGUGAAAUAAGUCUCAGAACUAAGCCUUGUUUUUAGUUAAAGCCAUCAUGAGCUAGCACCAACUAAUGCAAGAAUAGAUCAAAAAGCAAGCAUCUCUUGGAAACACAAACUGGAUGAAAGAAAAUAAGGACCAUCAAUCAACCCUAACUAUCAAUUGUUGUUUACCAAAGGAUCUAUCAUAGAAGAGAAGCCCAUCAUAUAUAGCCUUAAAACCAAGCAAUAUAAGACCUAGUUGAAUCCAAAAGUUUCCCAGAAAGAAUCAGAAAACGAGUCCCAAGACCAUGCUUAAAUUACCCAAAAUGCUAAUAUUUGCACACAAACCUAUUGAAAACCUUGCAAUCACCUUUAUUUGGCUAUUGUAUUUGUCCCAUUGGAAUUCUUUCAAUCCCUACGCCAUCAGGGCAUAACAAUCUUCUGCACCUAACUAUAUGCCCUCCAUGAGAAACAUUCGACUGGAGCAUCUUAAGCUGAAUAUUCGUACCAAAAAGUCAUUUUACUCCAGGCUUUAAGUAGAACAUUUAUGAUUUUCGCCAAACACCAGAUUCAAUAACAACGUUUAGCUAAUGCUCUCAACCACUCAAAUGGUGCAAACCAGUGUUGAAUCAACAGCCUAACCUCGAUUUCAAGUUUUUCAAGAUUACACAAUCUUCUCAACACGGAAAAAGAACCCAGUGUGGUAUUUGUUAGUUACUCCAGCUUUCACAAGUUUUCUUCAUUUCUUCACAUGGAUAUUGGCCUCCCAAAUACUUGUCCUCUUUCCUUUCCUACUUUAGGACUUAUCUUUCUAACAUUUACACAUAAAAACAAGUAUUCUCAUAUGCUGUUGCUCCAAAGUAUUAAGCUUUUUCAAAGACAAAACAGUCCUUUUGAAUUCCUCGACUAAAUUUUCCUUUCUUUUACAGCAUAAUCUCUUUUUAAUCUAAGAACUAUACAUCAGUCAAAUGGGCAAGAACAAAAACAAAACAUUCAAAUCAGACCUGGAAUGGGAAAUUGAGCUUGGCCAUCCAGUUGCUCCAAAUAAGCCUUAUUAGCCCAACACCCCAAGAAGGUCUCCCUCAAUGCAGCCUGCAAAGGCCCCAAAGGAGGCGGGCGAGCUUCAAAUGCUUUCAAUAGCUUCCUAACUUUAAGAUUAAGCGCGGCAUAGUGACAGCGAUCGCCAUCAAACGUGUGCUCAGAGCAAAUGGCCCCGCUUUCCAAAAGCAUCCUAGCGGCAUCCAAAUGCCCCGCAAGGCAAGAGUAGUAAAGGGCCACCGAAUCCCAUUGGUCCCGAGCAUUUACGUUGACGCCGGACUCCAACAAGUACUUCAACCGGUCAACGUCCCCGGCCCUGGAAGCCUCAUAAACGUCGCCGUAUGGGACCUUUUUUAAGGGAAGUGAGGAGGUGAAGUCCUCAGGGUCCAAAUCAAUUCCAUCCAAGUCUGACAUAUCUGUAAUGGAGGAUCAAAAUUGCUAGUAAUGAUUAAAUGCCGCAAAGGUAUUCGAUGAAAUGCCUCAGUGAAGUUUGCUUUGUAAUUGUGGUAGAAAUUAAAUAUCCGGGCUUUGUGAAUUUAAGGACUAAUCAUGCUGCUGUUGAAUUUUUUUAAUUUUGACCGACAGAAUUUCUGGGUUUUAGGAAUAAUGAAAAUGAUUUCCAGAAUUUCAGCAAGGAAGAUAGAAAGGGAGGGAAUGAUACUGUGACAGAGACUGUAUUGGGCCUUUAGCGUGGAAGAGUCCAAAAUGGCUACAUGGAUAAAAUUGUCAAAUGCAUCUAUGAACCGGGCUUUACUAAGCCCUGGGGUGAGUUGAGACUUAAAAGACUGAAAACUUUAGUAGUCACAGGCCUAAGAUUCGCCUCCUAGGCUGACGCUCCGAAUCCUCAAUUUCAGCCCAUUUAUUUCAGUGAUCCUUGGGCAGGCUAUACAAGAGGUGGAAAGCGAGGUACUCUUGAUGCGUGUCCAAUUUGUUAAAAAAUAUUUUUAAUUAAAAGAAUUACAAAAAUAAUGUAAGUAAAUAUAACUAUUUUAUGUAAUAUGUCAUAAAAAGUGUAUUAUAGAGAAAUAUGUAUAAUUGGAAGCAAAAAAACUGUUAGUAAGGGAGAAUAUGAAAAUUGAAGGAAGGUCAUUUUGGUUGAAUAAGAUUUGUAUAUCAGUUGCUAAUAGAGAUAAUGAUUAAUGGAUAAUAAAGAUAAAGAUAAAUUUGAGAAACAAAUAAAGUUAAUAUCAAAUUAACACCUACACAGACUUAAUUAUUGUAGAGAUUGUAAAAAUAGACUCUGUUGUUAAACUCGGACUCAUAAAGCUCACGGGUCAAAGAUUCACCCGUUAAACAGGCAUUCAAAAAUUGGGUGACAAUGAGACGUUCAAUUAGUUCUAUAUUUAAAUGAAGAAAUAUUCGUUUUAGUUUUCUAUUUUUUCCUCAUGCACAUUGUCUAAUCCAAAGCCUUCGUAUUCAACUCCAAUUUGAUAAUUUGAAAACUUCAAAUGUGUAAUCAGUGAGUAUAGAACUAAAUUAUUAAUAUUUAUGUGAAAAAACUGAAAACUAAGGCUGCAAAUUAAAAUAAGAAAAAGUUUAGAAGAGCACGUUAUCAAUUUUUUAAAACUUUUUGGGUCCAAAAUGAAAUACUAAAAAAUUUUGGACAUCAAUGUAAAAUGAGAGUAUCUUUUUAUUUCUUCGUUUCAAACAGUUUCCAGGGGUUUAUAUGUUUUCCGCGGCGGUCACGGUCAUUCAUCAACCCUUUUUCUCUCCAGUUCUCUAACUCCUCCUCUUCCCAUUUUGACAACAUCAUAUCUCUUACUCCAUUUUAUUUUUUAUUUUACAAACAUAUAAAGAUUAGAAUUUCUUACUCUCUGUAUCUCUUGACUUCCUUUGAAGUCCAUCUCUCUCGUUUUGUUUUUCUAUUUCUUUCUAUUCUUUCCUCUCCUUUCUUGCCAUUUCGGUUUAUACCCAAUUGUUGAUUAUGGAUCUGUAAUUAGUACGUGUUUGAAAGAUGAAACUCGGAUGGAUACAUGAAGUGAUUUACUGAAAGUGAGAGAAAAAUAAAUAACGACGAAAAAAGUAGCCAGAAAAAAAAAAAAACUUCUUGUCAUCGAUCGAGUCGCGAGUUUUGAUUUAACCUAGCUUUCUUCUAUUACCUUCUUAAAGUAAACUGGUACUAGACACCUAUCCCGUUCACAGUCGAAUGAGUCGAACAAUCCGAGUUUGAAUACACUAGUUUUGAGAGGAUAGCACUUAGAUAUGAUCUCCUAUAUCCUAAUAUUGAAAAUGAAUUUUUUUGAUGUUUUCAUUUGCUUCUUAUCUAGAUUUUAGAUUUUUUUUUUGGUUAUAUACAAGGGUAUUAGAUUUGUCACUAGGUAGAAAAAAAAAAUUCUAAAACUCAAAAUUUACGUAAAAGUAACUUUUUGGUUUCACAUUUUUUUUUUUUUUGUAAAAGUACUUUGCUAGAAUGCAAAAUUUAACCCAAAAAUAAAUGAAUUGUAUUUUAUCGUUCUCGCGUACUGUUGAAUUUUUAAAGAAAGAUCCACUUCUUGAAUUGUUCUUUUGCUAUGAGAUCAGGAAAGAGAUGACCUUAUAGUUUGAUCAGGUCCGGGUCCUCAAGCACGCUUCCAGGUAAAGGAACAGAAUUGCGUAAUGAAAUUGUGUGAAAUCGUUUCAUUUUCAUAUGCUACCACUUCAGAUCAGGCCUUAACAACAAGCCACCAAGUACAUACCAAACAACAAAUCAAACCAAGUACCAAUCUUAUAUUAUAACAUAAUCCAUAUGUUUGCAGGGUAAUCCCGACAGUUUAUUUAAUCUGCAAGGCUAAGACAAGAAACAGAGACAGAUUUGCGUUUUACACACAAACUCCUAUUGGAGUUGUGCCACAACACACUAAUAGUUAUAGCAGGCAACCUGGUGCGCAUGAUCUUGACCGGAAAUUAAAGGCACAUAUCUGAAACCCUCGGCCCUUCACCUCCUCGGCUGAAGCACCUUACUCAUGAUUUCAAAUGUAGUGUCGAAGAAAUCCUUAGAGUUCAUAGUAGUCAAAAUUUCGGAUGUAGAGAGACGAUAUACUGCACUUCCCUUGUAGAAGAAUAAUAUCGUGUCUGGAUCGGACAAGCUAUAGCGAGCUACAUGUUCAGGUACAUCUUUCUUUUCCACCUCGUAUAUGUCUGAGAAAAAGCUUAGGAUCCUGGAAUAAUAUGCUACCCAGUCAGUGACCUGCAAAUAGACAACAAGAUGACAGGUGGUUAGGGGCACAAAUACAUAUCCAUUUUUUAGGGUUUGAUUCGUCAUUCUCUGGUGCAACGAAUAUUUGCUGAGUUUUAUUUCCAUGAGUGAAAAAGUAAUUUUAUGAUAUAAUGCUAGAAAUAAUAGUUUCCUUUAACGAGAAUAUUUGAAAUAAAAAAUCUUCUAAACAUUGAAACGUAAAAAUUUCUUUUCCAUGAGUAUAUUUAAAACACCAAAAUAGUUGAUAAAUCUCUCAAAAUUCAUUUGGAUCAACACUGCAGAUUCGAGAGCACAACUAUGGCCUGUUUAACUUCGUCAACUUCUUCAAAAUUCGAGAAUCAAAUUGUGGCUUCAAUUGCAAGGUUACAAUAUACAUUUCUUGAAACAAAAAAAAAAAAAUUCAUACUUUUGCUUACAUAAAGCUUACCAGCAAAAAGUUACUUUUCCUUUCUGAAACAUAAAGUGAAAAAAAAAAUCGGGACACUCAUUAAGAAGGGUUUCAAGUAUUUAUUUUGUUUUUGAAAAAAAUGUAAUUAAUUUAGAAAAGUAUCUAAAUGCAGAGGGCAUAAUAAUCGUACUUAUGUAUAUUCAUAUAGCAAUUUAAGUGUAAUCUAGAUGUGUUAAUGAGUAUUUAAUGGACAUCCAUUGAAAAAAUUCAAUAAAACAAUUAUGUUGUGUUGCAGCCAACCGCUUAUAGAUAUUGAGGGUGCCGGAGAUGAUGUACCUUCCCGGAAUCCGAGUAACCUCGAUCUACAAAUCUGAUGAUCACGAAGUUUUUGGAUGCAUUAUUAAUAGCUCGAUCGACUUUAAAGGCUCUAUCCAGGCUCUUCACGCUGGACAUGGCUAUUUUCUUUCCGCUCUUGCUCUUGCUCUUGCUCUCUCUCUCGAUCUCUGCUCUAUUUAUUUGUACACGAAGAAGCCUUUUGAUGCAAUUUACGUAGUGGAGUCACUUGCAUAUAUAGAUAGAUAUUCUAAACCACAAAGCUGUGCCAAAGGAAAUUCCAUAACUAGCACAUCUUAUUCCAUUUGAUAACUUGUUCGAAUUUGCGCCGGCCACGAAAAGCAAGUGUCAGUUGGACAGCUGCGUAGCUGUGUGAGUGGGCAUCGUAUCUUUUGUGCUGGAGAUCAGAAAUCACCAAAGGAGAAGGAACAAUGUUUAGUUGGAUUCUUGACAAAUCCGAAAAGCAAUAAACCAAACAACUAGGCCUUGAGCAAGUCAAACUUAUACGUAUAUGUAUGUGUGCGUCUAUAUCUAUAUAUAUAUAUCCUUAAGUGUAAUACCAUACUUCUUCACUUAAUUCCUUUAAAAAUUUUAUGGCAAAUGUUGUCAAAAGUGCAGUAAAUAGAACUUCGAGCAGUUAAAGAAAAAGCAAAUGAAGAAGUAAAAAGUAUAGAAGUGAUGGGGAUAUAUAGGAAAUUCGUUUUAAUCUAAAUUUCACCAUGAUCUUGUAAGUAACAUUUAUUUUCACGUAUAGUAUCAUGAUUGAAUGCAUGCGUGAUACAUAUGUAAAAUUUAGUUGUCAUGUACAAAACGGCGAUAAUAUAUAUGUCGACAAUGUAUAGAAGAUUCAUUUUAUAAGUAAUACUUACUUCUAGAUUUAUUCUUAUGCUCUAGAUUUUUCUUCUUUAAUGAUUAAAAGAACAUAGAGCAACUUGUUUUCUAUUUUAUGUUGCCUUGAUAAUUUUUCUUCCUAGUGAAUUUAUGUUUUGACCUCUAUUAGUCUCUCACUUUAAAUUAAAAGUUACAUGAGAAUGAGAUAUACACACAAUUUUAAAAAAAAAUCACUUCCAAUAACCAUUUUAUUUCAUAACACACUCAUAAAGAAAUUGUAGGAAUCAUUUUAACAUCCUGUUCCUCUAGAUUUCUGGUAAUCGAUAAAUAUUGUACCGACCCUAGGUUCUUUUUCAAGAUAAACAAAUAAAUAAAUAAAUAACCCAUCGGCCUCUUGUUUUCUGAGCACAUUGUACAAAUAAGGGAUGGGCUCCGUUUGAUUCUCUCCGGGACAGAGAAUAGUACUCUGCAUCAUGUUGCAAUGAAAGCAAUGUGAAACGAAUGUAUCAUUGUCAUAUGCCAAUGUAUACAUAGUAAAUUUAUUCUUGGGCUAACAUUUACUCCUGACCAAUAUUCCUCUUUCUUUAGCCUGUGUCCAAUAAAAUGUACUCCUUUUUCUGUUCGAUAAGCUCUUCCUAUCUGGAAAGCAUAUGAUUCGAUGUAGACGCGAUCCAGAAAUGGCUUAGGCCAUUGUAUGGAAAGCAUCCAAUUCGAAAGAAACCAGCAACGUACUCCUUUCAUUUCAUUGAGCCGUUGUCAACCUUUGCCUACCAAAUUCCCUUUUUUUUUUCUCUCUUUUUGGCUGCUCUUUUACUAGGUCUCUCAUAUUUUAUUCCCAUUUCAUACGCCAAUUCUAAUAAUGCUCAGAUAAAAGAAUAAAUCUUUCACACAUUAAUAAUUAAUGGAUACACUUACGGAUUUAGACGUAUGUUACAUGUUCAAAAUAUUUUGUUAAAAUUAAAAUUAAGAUAAUGUGUCAUAUUCAUCCAAAUCCAUUAAUAUAUUUAUUGACGUAGAAAAUAUUAGUCGCAGAUAUUUUUUUUUUUUAUCCUUCAAACUUUUUUCUUUUCUUUUUAUAAUUUCCGGAAACUUCACAAGUUCAUUAGGAAGACGCAGAAAAAGGGCUUGAAGGAGCUGGAUUCAAGAAAAAACUUCUAGUACUGUUUACAUAUUGCUGAAACACACCAGAGUAGACUACAGAAAUCAGAAAAGCAUAUUACUCCAUCAGUAGGAAAGGGCAAAGCCUUACUUUUAAUGAUCAAAGACCUUAUUGCAGCCAUUUACUUGGUUUUGAUGCCAUGCUUAAUCUGAGGAAGUACCAAGUCAUCAGCAAAACGCCUGCCCAUAAACUCCUUCAUCAUGAAAAUGCGAAGCGCAUCUUCUGGCGUCUGAUUUGCACUUGAUUCCACAAAGUUUCCCUUGUCAGCUGACCCCAUUUCCAAACCUCUGCUUUGCAUUUCUAUUCCUUUUUUUUUUUCAAAAACGAUAGAAAUUUUAUUUAUAAUAAUGAAGAAGACAUUACAUUAUAUGGGCAAGGGCUCAAACUUGGGCUUUACAAAAGUGGAAUAGGCCACUGAGGAGUGUAGAGUUCCUCAUCAUAGUAUAAGCAUAGCUAAUCCACUCAGUUUUGCACUGAGUCUAUUCACUUCAGCAGGCAAACAGUCAAAUGAGCAUUUCCUAAACAUUGAGCUAAGAUCUUUUGUGUCCUCCAGGUGAGUUGCCAGGCUUAAGUUGCUAGAAACUUGAUACCUUAUCAGCGGAGACUUUCCCUCCGCCACCACCUCCAGUAACUUGGGUCACUUCUUUUGUUUGCUGAGAUUCUCAGAUUUCACAUCAUUCAUUGUCUCAGAAAUAAUUUUAGCCACUGUUUUUCCACCAGGGAUCAAUUCCCGGAGAGCAUGACGAGCAGCAUUUUGGGCGAACUUGGAAGCGAAAAGGCCGAUCAUUGACCGGGUUUCCUCGCUGGGCAUGUAGUCAUUGAGCGCCUGCAUCCAGUUGACUCUGACGGCCUUAUCGAUGUUGCCAACGACGGCAGAGCUGUAACCGUAGGAGGCUUUGCAUGCAUCUAUGACGGCCGUUGGAGCGGGUGCGUUUCGCUUCCCGGCUUCAGUUGUUGAGUUGAUCAAGUCCCAGAAUCCCAUCUGCUGCUCUGCUUUUGUUAUCGAUCAAUUUUCAGAUGUGGAACCACUAUAACUAUUGCAGGUCUGCUAUUAGUCGCAAAUAAAAUGUGAUGAUUGGUGAAUGAGGCGGCAAUGUCCCAAUAUAUAUUGAUUAUUUGGGAUAAGAGGGCUAAUUGGAGUGCUAAUGAAGUACAAUAGUACAUCCAAAAAAGGCCAAUUUUCUAGUGAUAACUUAUAAUCAAGUAAACUUAUAAAACUUAUUUAGCUAGGCAUAAAAUAUUAUCUGUAUUGCUACAUAACGCACUAGGUUGAGAUUGGGAUAUUACUUUGGGCCUUAGGGCCGUGGGAUCUAUUAUAUUUAAGCGGGCGUCAUGGGCGAUAAUCCCAUUAAAUUAGUCAGUUUAGGGCCAUAUCAUGACUGUAUAUCUUUUCAGAGGUACUCUAAUACCUUCUUUGGAUUGCUUUCACUGUAAGUAAGGUUGGAAUCUCCGACCUUCAAUUCGAAGAGAAAUUUAAUUCUUGACUACUGACUCAAAACUCGGUGGUUGCAGCUGUCCAUUAUCAAGUAAUCACAAACAUGAGUUAGAAAGGCAGAAAGGAAGGUUUGGAAAAGCUUCCGACUGACUGGUUGAAAAGUAAGUGAAGGAUGCUUUGGGAAAGCAUCCGACUAAAGCGAUAAGCAGUAUAUCGGUUAGUGCGUUCUCUUGGACUCUCUGCCUUAGCCUGCUUGUCCUCGCUUUCAGAAAGCGACCACACCAGAGGCAAGGAAAGAAGCUUUGGGAGAGCAUCUGAUAUGACUCAACUCGGUAGUAAUAAAAUUGGACUAAGUUUGCUCAUUGACGUUGAACAAGAAAUAUGUAGUAAACAAGAAACUCACAAGGUGAAAUUAAAAUUUCAAGCAUAAAAGGGAAAAAGAAAUCUCAUGCAAACAACUUUUGAUAAAGUCACGCAACAGUAAAUCAAGUAGAGCAGCAUAUUGUGGAUGUGGAAGGAGGUCAAGCCAUGUCAUCUGCCAAUAGAUGGUAGCCCCCAAACAUGCCUGGUCGAGAAUGGAAAAGGACCGUUUGUAAAAGCAAAGGAAGGUGCAACCGGAAGAAGAUGACGGCAGGGAAACAGGCCACAAUGGUGAUGGGAAUGUAAGCUCACUUUUGCCUUGAUUGAAGUGACAGUCCAAUUGUUGUGCCAAAAGAUAUCAUGGUUCCAUCUAUGGUGGAAAGCUGACCUGCUUAUGCACGGUGGGAAGAGCCAAGGAAAUUAGGACAACUCAGCAUUGUGGGCCUGGGUGAAGAAAGGUUAUUAAAAGUAGUGACCGGAACCUGGUAGAAGAAGUUUCACCAUGUCCAUUGUACUUUUAGGAUAAAUAACAUGUAUGCCCCUCAACAACUUAUGGACUUUUGUAUGCACCCAAAAAUUAUCAUUAAUUCUGGAGUAGCUCCCCAUGCCUGAUUGGCAGGAAACAAGUUGCGGGCAUUUGUAUGCAUUAAAGAAUUAUCAUUAAUUGGAGAGUAGCUCCCCAUGCCUAAUUAGCAGGAAACAAGCUGCAAAGAGCUGGAAGAUUUGGAAAAAUUGGUCAGAUGCAAUAAUCCUUGGGACUAUUGAUUAAGCGCAUUUAGUCCUAUUGAUUUAAGGACUAUUAAUCAUAGGACUAUUAAUCCUAGGACUAUUAAUCAUAUCCAGCUUCGUUUUUUCAUAUUGUGCGUGCAAUCAAAAAAUAUAUAAUAUUUAUGAUAAUAUAUUUUAAAUAAAAUUUUUAUUAUUGAAACAAACUUUAAUUGUUAGUUAUAAUAAUAGUUAGAAGUAAAAGUAGCGAUGAGUAGUUAUAGAUAGUUAAAGUAAAAUUAAUUUUUAUAAGGAUAAAAAAUGUUCAUAAAAUGUUAACUCCAAAUCCCUUCCUCAAACUUUAUAUAUAGUAUAGAUAACAAUGCACCUACAUUCACUAAGUAUUCUAUUAUACUAAAAUGUAUCUACAUUUGCACAAUCUUCACAUUUGCUGUCCCUUCUUCUUUUUUUCCCUUUUUUAAAAGUAAUUUAUCCAAUUUUUGCCAUUCAAUUUUUUUAAUUCCGUUCAUUAGUUCAAAAGCGAUUUUUCUUUAUUGCAUUUACCCUUGAUAAGUUAAAAGCCCAUAAAUGUAUUUAUGUGUACUUCAAUCUUAAGGAUUAACUUUAAUUGUUAGUUAGCGUAGAUGAGUAAUUAUAUACAUAAAUAAAUAAAAAGAAUUAAUUUGUAUAAAAAAUUUAUUUUUCACAAUAAUUUAUUGAAGAAUUUUGGUUCAUAAGGUUAUAGUAAUUUGGUAAUUACAAUACUUAGGGUAGUUAUAUUGGCAAAAUGUGAUUAAGCAAUUAGAGGAAAAAUUAAAAGUUUUUCCCUAAGGAUAAAAUCGAAAGUUUAGAAAAUGAUUUUAAAAAGUUUAUACUAACAGCGAUCCCUCUAACUAAGUGCUCAUAGAUAGUGAUUUUUUAAUUGGAAUCAAAAUUGUAGAUGAAUAAUUAGAAACAUAAUUAACAUAGUGUUACAAAAAACCAGAAUCGUGACAUAAUUGACCUGGUAGAUUUUAAUUUUAAUUUAGAAAUUAAAUAAGUAAACUUAUACGUAACAUGGUGACUUUCAAAUCGAUAUCAAAUUUGUAGAUGAGUAAUCACAAAUAUAAUUAACAUAAUACACCAAGAAACUAGAAUUGAGAUUGUAGAUAAAAUAAUCAUAAACAUAAAUCACAUAAUACAAAAGUUUCAAAGAUUGAACGUUUGAACUAUUACAAUAACUAGAUGGUUAUGAAUUUAAAUUCUAACUCUGCAACUAGUUAUACUGGACAUGACAAACUAUAAAUCACAAAUUUGACCAGUAAAUUAGUGUCAAAAUUUGCAAAUUUUUAAAUAUUAAAAUGAUGUAAUGAUAAGGAUAAUCAAGUCACAGUAAAAAUCAAAAUUUACACUUUUUUUUUCUCCAACUUCUUUUAACUUGAGGAAAAAGGUUCAUGAAGAACAAAGCCCCUACAAGUUACAUUUGCACAAACAGUGAAUCCAAGUCAAGGCACCUCAAAGAGAUACCAUUACAGAAAGGGUAGUGAAAAGACAACGGCAUAAUAGAAAAGUUGAUAGAGUUGAUACUACAUCCAAGGCCUAAAAUUGGAGACCAUGUUCCCGAGCAGCAUCAGCAAGUGCUUGAAUACGUCCAUGAUAAGGGUAGCCACCUCGGUCGAAGGCCACUUUUGUAAUCCCUUUCUCAAGACAGGACUUUGCAAUUGCUUUGCCCACUUUCUUCGCCACAUCAAUAGUGGGAGCAGAGCUAUAAUUGAGAUAAUCGGAGAUUGGCUUUUGCAUUGUUGAAGCAGAAGCAAGAGUAUGCAUCUUCGAGUCAUCAAUUACCUGAACAGACAGAUGCUUAUUGGAUCAAAAUACAGACAGUCUUGGUCUUUCCGGUGUCCCUUCAACCUUCUUACGGAUGCGCGAAUGGCGGGCAGUGCGGUCCUCUCUGCGGGUUCCGGCCUUGGCUUCAAUGGAGAGAGCGUUAGGCUGCCAUUGGGUCGAGAACGAGGAAAGCGGCAAGGGCGAAGGAAGGAAAGGAGAAGCGAAUUUGGGUGUUCUGAAACCAAGCCCAAAACUAAGUGAAGGUGCAUUGCAAGACAUUUCUUUGUUUGUUUCAGCAGAAAAUUCUUUGCUAUUCUUUCUCCUUUCUUCUCCCUCCUUAAAACACGCUCUGUUUAGCCUAUCCACAGUCCCACUUCUCCCCCAAAAUUUACACUUAAAAGUAAGUGUUGAAUUAAAAAAUUUUGUUGUGAUAGGAUUAUCUAAUGAUAGCAAAUCCAUUGAAACAAGCAAGCAAAAAAUGCAAUUGAUGAUAAAGUAAAAAGGUGUAACCCAACAUAUUGUUUAAAAAACAAACAUCAAAUACACUAUUACAUCCCUUCACCAAGCUGGAUACAUGAUAUCUCUAUUCAAGUCAAUGUCUUCCUCCUCCUCGUCAUCUACUGGUUGGUAAUUAGAAAGAUUACCAUUGUUCAGCCAUGUAUAAUUCGUAGUGUCCACCGAUUGUUGGAACCGUGAAUUGGCUCCAACCCCUGCUUUACUCCAACAUCAUGCAACUAACAUUAAAGGGCAUAAACAAAUCCACCGUGAUGAUUAAAAACAUAAAAAAUAACAUUUUAUAGCCACCUUACAAUAUAGUAUCCAAAAAAACAAAAAAAAAACAUUUUCUAGAAAGACAAAUUGGACAACCCACCUGAUGGUCCAAUUGAUCCCAGUCAUUGUCCGAGUUAAAAUGCAUGUUCAUUCCCCCCCUCACCCAAGCGGCACUUGUAUUACCCUCAAAGAUGUCUGGAGACAUGCCCAGAGCGUGAGACAAGUCGUCGUUGGGAUUUUCUAUAUGCAGGGGACAAGUUCUCUUAUUAUGGCCUUCCCUUCCACUGCCACAAAAAGUUAGAAUAUACAUGAAACCACUGAAAAAACAUGCCAUAGAAACUACAAAAAUAUGAACACGCCAUAGAAACUACAGAAUAUGAAAAGUCGAAAACUUAUAACAACUAUUAAAACUAACCCGCAAUUUCCACAUUUGUUGCGGAUGUGUCUUUCUUUUCCUUUAGUUCUCUGAUCACCCCUCGGCCUGUUUGCAUGAGGAUCACCGAUACCCACUUUACCAGAUGCAUCUCCCUUUCUAUGCGCUUGUGAUGAGCUGCCCGUAGCAGUAGAUUCUUCUAAGGAUAGGGUCUUCAUUUCGGCAGUUUGUAUGUCUAUUACAUUCAAUAAUCGAGUGUAUCCAGUAGUAGUCUUUGCCCCAUAGUAGCACAUGGUAUUGCAACCACUAGACAAACGAGCAUACCUUGCCAUUUCAUUAACAUUAGUGACCUCUGAUCUUUCCCGUAGACUGCCACUCCUCCCACGUCUUGCAUCUCUCAUCCAUCUCUGCAUAAUGCAAUUAGGUGGAAUUUUCUUCAUUCCUUCUAUCACCAUUAUCCUAAACAUGUGACUACAAGGAAGUCCUACGGUCUUCAUUUGCAGGCAUGAACAACUCAUUAUGCCAGAAGUUCUAUUGUAUAAAACCCUCCUCUCCUUAUUUGAAUAGGAAUGGGAAAUAAAAUGAAUGCACUGGACUCCAUCAUCCAUGGCAUUAUAUCUGAAGUAUAACCCCUGGCUCCUCAUCUCAGCUCUAACCUUGAGAAAGAUCCUUCGAGUGAAAACUUCUGCUGCAUGCUGCUCCAAGUAGUGGGUCUCGGUUGCUGGUAGUAGACUAGUGUGCUCUGUCUCAACAUUCAUUCUUGCCUCCUCAUGGCGAAGCCAUGCAUUGGCCAAAUCAAAAGCUCUAAGAGUCUCAAAUAGCCUUAACUCCCUAUGAAGGUAUAUCUUUAACAUAGCGUGCAUCCUCUCGCACCUCUGUGUACUUCGCAUGCCACCGAAAAAAUAGCCCCUUAAGUAUGCUAGUGCCCAACGCUUCCUCUUUCUAUACACUUGGUUAACCCAGUCAUUGUUCUCCAUAUUGAACGAACAUACCAGUUUGGCCCACUUUGCUUCAAAUUUGUCUAUAGAACAGUUGUUGUACAUACAAUCUUUAAAUCCUGCUCUGAAAUCCUCAUUACCUACAUGUGAGUUAAGGUUUUGGUUCAAAUGCCAGCAGCACAAUCUGUGCUUCGUGUUGGGGAGACAUUUUUUUAUGGCUUUUCUCAUUUGUGGAGCGCCAUCAGUCACGACCGAUAUGGGUUUUUUCCCAUCCAUCGCCUCCAAGAAAGUGUUAAGGACCCAUUCAUAUGCCCCUUCGUCUUCCUCGCGUACAGUUGAGCAUGCAAAUAUGGACGUGGAGAAGUGAUUGUUGAUGCCGCACAUGACCACAAGAGGGUGCAAGUAUUUGUUUGUAUUAUAGGUGCUGUCAAAUACAAGAACAUCACCAAAGCAUCUGUAGUCCUCACGUGACCUGGAAUCGCUCCAGAACAACCUUGAUAGUCUCCCUUCACUAUCAACUGUGAAAUUGAAAUACAAGUUCGGAUCUACAUCUUUCUUACCAAAUAGGUAUGCAAAGGCCCCUUCUGCGUCGCCAUCCGCGAUCUCUUCCAUCCUUUCUGAAUUCAUCUUAUUAUAUAGGUCCUUGAUAGUGAAAGGAACAUUGUUAUACCCACCGCAUUGAAGCACGAACAACUUCAUAAUCUGACUUGUCUUCAUUCCAACACGACGAAGAACGUGCGCUUGAGCAUAGUCGGCUUCUGAGAUGUGGCGGUGGGAUUUUAGGAACUUCGUACUUGUUGGGCUUGCUAAUUUGUGGUUGUGACGCAUUACAAUAUUACUGACCACAUACUUGUCCUCCUCAACUGAAAGCCUUACUUUGAAACAUGCCUUACAAUCAACUCUUGUGACCGCCUUUGGCUCUCUUUGCCGAUCCUCUCUUUGUAUGUGUUUCUCAUCCCGGAGCCCGUGCCUACUACACACCCAUUGCCUAUAUCUGACCUGACCAGUUUCGGGGUCCUUUAGCUUAUAACUCUUGCGGACACUGAAUCCUGUUGCUCGACCAAGCAUCACGUAGAAGGCUUCAGCUUCGUUUUCCGUAUUGAACUUCAUUGACAUCACAUCUCGUUCAUCUAAGUCCUCAUAGUUGAAGUCUUGCACUCCUUCAUGGAGCUGUCCCCUAACAGACAUUGCUUGUGUUCCCUCUUCAGUUUCUGAUAUUUCAAAUUCAUCAAUGGCGUCCCACAUGGUCAAAUCUUUCCAUGAAUCUUGCACUGGUCGCUUUCCGUUCGGAUCAUUAGCAGAUUGCAUCGUAUGUUUACGCUGUACUCAACACCACAGGUCCUAUCUUAUGUUAAGGGGUCCUCAUUACAGACUAUUAUACAUGUUUUGAAAGCCAUUAUUUUCAAAAUGCAUCCAACUAGAAACCCCAUCAAUGUGUUUGCGAAGUUUGCAUGGAAAAGAAUACAAAACAUUCUGCUAACGUGUAAACAAAAAAUUUGAAGUGUAUUUAAAGGGAAACUAGUGUAUUUUUCUUGGCUUAUAAGAAAUAGUUUAGCCGGCCCAAAAACACAGUCCACUACCAAUCUCCUAAUACAGUUCCAGGCCCGCCAUGAUUCAUGGUUGGCUCAUUUUCGAUUCUUUGUAGUGAAAUAUUUGUCUAUUCUUUUUUUUCAGGCAUAAUAUUUGUUUCCUCUGUUUUUUUUUUGCAGGUUAAAUAUUUGUCUAUUCUUUUUUUUUUGAAGGUAAAAUAUUUAUCUAUCCGAAGCCAAUUUUUUUUUCUUGAAGUAUCUAUUCAAAUAGUACACAGGGAAACAUGAACAAGCCACAAGGAACAAAAUGUCAAAAAAAUUAAGAUUCAGAUUAGAGUUACCUUCUUGGAAUCCACCUUUCUUUCUAGAUCAACCUGCUCGUCUCCCACUCACAAGCUCAUUGUCGUGGUUGCCAAUUGCCCAUACAUGGACCACUAUUUAUCUAUUCCAUGGAGAUCAUAUGUUUUAAGCUACACAUAUAGUGGUUGUUGGGUGUUUACUCCCCUUCAUAAACAGUGUAUUUAUUUUGAAUAGACUUCAGGUUUUGAAACAAGGGAAAGACGUAUCAUUUAUUUGGCAAGCAAGUAAUCUUUUUUUUACUUGUCCUGUAAUUUCAUUAAAUUGCUUUCCAAUUCCAUGAUACUUGCCCAACAUCUCCAAUCAAUUGAAAUCGCGGGAAAUUAUUAUCAUUUAUUCGACAAGCUAGCAAUUCAGUUCUUUUAAGAUUUGAAGAUCUUCUGACUGUCAACCCCAUAAAUUCAAUUCAACCUAUCAUCUAUUUAUGGUUUCCUCUAUACAAAUUGAUCAAUUUAAUCAAAUGGAAUUCCAAUUGAUUGUAGGGGUGAGGAAAUGGUGCAAAUUCGGUAAUCUGGUUAGUUGAAUUCGGUGAAUUCGGUUAUUUGACUUAUAGAAAUCUAAACCAUUUUCAAUUUCGAAUUGAUUAUAACCGAAUUCAUUUUGCAACCCCUUUCGAAUUCGAAAAUGGUAAUGAAUUCGGUUAACUGAAUUCAUUUAUAAAAAAAAAACCGAUUUUUUAAAAAUUAUUACUGAUGUGAAUCCCCAAAUUUAUGAAUAAUUUAACACAUUACAUAUGUUCUAAUCAAUAUGAACUUUAAUUUAAUUGGCAUUUAUUUCAUCGCUUAUACGUAGAAUCCUUAGUCUAUGAUUUAAGGAACACAUAAAAAGUGAUUAAUUUAAACUAGAAUAAACCUUAGACUAUACAAUGAUUAGUGAUAAUAAACCGUAGACUAAAAUUAUAUGUUGUACAUUAUUAUAUAUUA
rnacentral:lncRNA from 1 species